ensembl:lncRNA
GUUUCCAUUAACAGGUUGCAUUGUCCUGAACAGAGCAAAAACAGUAAUUUUUGCAUUCAGGUGCUAAUAAUGUUGUGGUGACAGGGUUUAACAGAAGGUUUUUGUAAGAGUGAUUAAAGGAUCUUCCACACUGUGCUCUACUGGCAGCACAGUAAUAUACUACAGUACUCCCAACAUGUUCCUUUUUUAAUGUAAUGUUAAGAGUAGAGGAUUCUUCUCCAUUUCCUCCGAUGGCAAACUGAGUUUUAUAUUGGUCUUCAGUGGUUGGAUUUUUGUAAUACACAUUUCCAAUAAGAUUUAGUGCACUGUCACCCUUCAGCUGCUGAUACCAUAAUAUCGUUCUAUAGUCAUUAACGGUGUGAGAACAGCUGAUCUGAACUGUUUUCUC